rnacentral:tRNA from 3 species
GGGUCGUUAGCUCAGUUGGUAGAGCAGCGGACUCUUAAUCCGUAGGUCGAGUGUUCGAGUCACUCACGACCCACCA